CUUUCAAGUUUGGGUUUAAUUUUUUCAAUUGUUUCAAGUGAUAAGUAAGAUUUAUGAUAAAAUUCUAGGGUUUUAACUUGUAGUAGAAAUUUUCAAAUUUAGGUAUGAUAAACAUGAAUUGGAGCUCAAGUUUAGAGAUUACUUCAAUUCCAAUUUCAGUUAGGUGAUGACGAAGAAAUUGGAAAACCUUACUGACCGGCCUAGUCUGUAACUCGUAUUGAGUGAGUGGAUGAAAAUUAAUUUUUCAGCAAUAAGUAUUUAUUCAAUUUAUAUUAAAUCAGAAAAUUUAUUAUUUCAUACAAUUGAUUUGAUAGCAAGAUUUUCAGAAUAAAGUUGAUUUAUAAAUAGUUGUUUUAAAAGUUUGAUCCAGUUUAGUUAAAUCAUUUCAUUAGCAUGUUUUACGAUACUACGUGUUUCAAAAUAUUUAAAGUUAUUUCUAAAAACUACCAUAAAGUACUCAGGUGAUUUUACCCAUUCUGCACUGGUGUGAAUGCGUUUCCACAGUGUAUGACUAGUUAAUAGUGAUUUUACCCGCUCUGCACUAGUGUGAAUGUGUUUCCACAGUUUUCACAGUGUAUGACCAGUUAUGGUGAUUUUAUCCGCUCUGCACUAUUGUGAAUGUGUUUCCAUAGUGUAUGACCAGAAUUACAGAAUUUCAAUUCUGCGCGCUUAUGACCAGAAUUUAAGAAUUUCAGAAUUUCAGAAUUACAGAAUCGAAUAGCUCUGCCAUGUAUAUUGGUACUAACUGAUACAUAAGUAAGGUUAUUCCGGGUAUCUUUUUGGCGUGAAUUUCAGUAAAUUGCAAUUCAUCAGUUUUCAGAUCAGAGAAUUUAGUCAUUUCAAUUUAAAGAAUAAAUGUUUUAGCUUAUAGUGCAAUAAAAGAACAUUUUUAUUAUAUACUAGUUUUCAGAAAGUUGGCAUAUCUAGAAAAUAUAUAUUUACUUACGGAAUAUCCACUUACUGAGUUAUAGGCUCAUAUUUUUAUCACAAUUUCUCUUAUCAAAUAGUAACUGAGUUGAGCACUACUGGGCCAGUUGAUCUAUUGGAUUGACCCAUAGAUUGUUAAAUAUUGUAUGACUCAUCUUAUCAGUUUAAUAGUUCAUAUUUUGGGAUAGACACUUCUUUUGGUCAGAAAUUAGUUCCAUGUUUUGUAUAUAUUAUGCAUUUUGGGUAGUGGGAUUUAUAAAUUGUUGCAAAGGUCGAAUUGCUAGUGUUGUAUUUGAAUAGUUGAUAUUUUAUGGUCCAGUGUACCCUAUUUUAAACUAUACGCAUCUGUUUGGAAUAUUGGAUUAUAUAUUUCAGGUGGUUUUAGUCCAUAAUUCAGGGGGUACUCUGCCAAAAUUUUUACAAAGUAUAUUAUAGUCAAAACAGGUCAAAGUUGCAUUGAUGGUGGGUCCAGCACUUAGCUGGUAUCUACCAUCGGCGCACGACACGUAUCGGGUCUAUUAGGAUGAUUCGGGACGGGUCGUGUCAUGCUCCAACACCACCUUGCCUACUGGAGCCAUCGAAAUUCAUUUGCCAUUUUAUCAACCUGAUAAAUUACUACCUUGUCAAUUUGAAGAGUCAAUAAUUAUGUGAGGUUAAAAUACUUGUCUACCCCUUUAUGAAGAAAACAACGCACUUUUGAAUUUUAAAAAUCAUUGAAACAUUGUCAUUGUCAUAGUUGGCAUGCCUUUCUAUCCCAAGAUGUACCAACAACCAGAUUAAACUACCCGUUUCUUACUGUUAAAGCAGGAGCAAUGAGGAAAAUUCCUCGAGCCAUUGAGAAGGAAUGGGAAAAGAAGUAGAGAGGAACAGUUAUUAUGUAACAAUACCGUGGUCAGUUUGAUUCUUUUUUAUUUUUGUAAUAGCAUAGCAUUUUUUUGUACUUUUUCCCAUCACGAGUUUGGAAAUUUUGCGGCAGUUCAUCAUUUGAAUAACGAUCAAAACAUAAGAAAAAAAUUUGAGAAAGAAUUUAUGCAUAUUUGUGGAAUAAUCGCCUACUUGGAACGCAUUGGAGUUUUAAAUUGAAUGCUAGGGAGUGUUUUCUUCCAAAAUAGAACA